ensembl:lncRNA
GGAACAGGUUUGCAGUGUCUAUGCUCUAAGGCAGCGCAGCAGUCAGGUUAGGCACAUUAUCAGGAGAAUGCUUGAGGUUUUUUUUUCAGGCCUCUAGGGUCAGACUGCCAACAUAGAGUUCUACUUUAAUAUCCUGAGGUGUGGGAGGAAAUUCAGCGGAAAUUGCAUGAACUCUGGUGUGUGCCAGUAUGCCAUCCACUUGUUCGGUUUCUGUUUUGUUUGUUUUUCUGAGCAGCACCAACUUGCCCACCAUCUACCCUAUUCACCAAAUUUGCCUCACUGCAACUUCACCUUCUUCUCCAGAAUGAAAUUCAAGCUGAAGGGUUCACCUUUUUGCCACACUGAAGAGAGUUCCAGCGAGUAUCGCAGAAGCAUCUAAAAAUAGCAGAUGUGCUUGAAGCGUUGCACCUCUACCCAAGGAGACACCCUUAGUUUUCAACUUGUUUAUUUUCUGUUCUGUUAUCAGCAGUUAUCAGCUCAUUGCUACUUGUUGGGUUUUUAUUUUAUUUUAUUUUGUGUUGUUCUUAUUAAAUAAAUAAUAUACAACAUCCUAAAAAGAGAGCCAGUGAUGCUGUGUCUGCUUUUGUUUAAUCUCCUCAUUUAACUCUCAGCAAGACAGCAAAUUUGCAUUUGCUAACUUUUGAACUUCUCUUUUUACAUGAACUUUACCAUAGCGGUGGUAAUUCAGCAGUCGCUCUGAUGAGUCAUUAGUGAUUAAUGAGCACAAUAUGGAUCGUUUUGUGGGCACAGACAAAAAAUGUGUUUCGCUGUUUAGUUGAGAGGACUUGUUACGUUACUGAGCUCACGCUGUGCUGUCAAAUUUAGUGAAUUAUCCAAAAUGACACCUAAUGGACAUUGUAAAAGUAGCAAUCGAUUCAGGAGGACAACCUUCAGCCUUCUCUUUUGGAAACACUUUAUCCUUGAAGGUGUAUUGAUUUUGUACAGACCUGGCAGAGGUCCAGGUAAAAAGGCUGUUUGUGUAUUUAUUUAUUUCUGAUGCUAGUAAAACAAAUAAACAUCCAUAUAUAUAUAUAUUACAUGGAGUACUAUAAUACAGGUUUUGAACUUGAUUUUUUUCCACUGUUUUCUUUCUUCUUCUUCUUCUUUUUUUAAAUCUUUUUGGUAGCGAGCCAGAAUGCACCCUUUUAACAUCUCACCUACGCUUUCUACUCUAAUUCAGCCCCUUUCACCCCUCUGUCUAACCCUCCCUCUCUCUCUCUGUGUCUUUCUCUCUCAGUGUCAGUGACAGGGUCUGUUACAUGAGCAGACUGCCAGCAUGCUCUGUGCCAACUUCUCCCAGCUCUGGGGAUGUGGUGAGCAGCUCUUUAUCUCCGGGAAACAGACGCGUCCGAUCACCUCCUCGGGGGGCUGGUGUGGGCAGGGAGGGCAAAGAACGGGAGGAGACCAGCAGGUUUUUUUUCCCCUCCUCCUUCUAUUCCAAAGUCAGAGUCAUCCAAAGCAUCUGUGUGCACGCACACAUGCACACACCCACACACCCACACAGGCAUGCUGAGACACACACGCUGGAUAUCUCGUACCUCCUCUUCUUCAGUCUAACAAAUUGUGAUCAUUUGUGAUGUGUGCAUUAACCAACAUACCUACCCAAAUGCCUGAGGGCAAUGAUGCUGGUAGUGUUAAAAUACCUCUUUCCCUUUUCCCACUUUUCUUCCCUUCCCUGGCAACAAUUGCAAUAUGAGAAGCAGCU